rnacentral:misc_RNA from 1 species
CAGCAGCAGCAGUUGUAUUAGUAGUUGUAGUAGUAAUAGUAAUAGCAGUAGUAAAUAUGUAUGAGCAGUAGCGGCUGCUGUUUUAGCAGCAUUGAAAUAAUUAUUGGUUUUUGUACCGGCACCAAUAGGACUACUACCAGCACAGCAGCACCAUUAUAAUCUUAAUAGACCACAGGCAGCGCUCUGGACUGUUGUUGUCACCACCACCACCACCACCAACACCACUACCACGGUCAUUCUGUCCAAAAUCUCACGGAUUUUCCACCCUGACCCUGACCCCCCACCCCUUCCCAGUCAAAGAAGACCAGUUGGUAAUUACAUACAUACACACAUUUUAUAUAUAUAUAUAUACAUAUAUAUAUAUAUAUAUAUAUGUAUAUGUAUAUGUGUGUGUGUGUGUGUACUUCAUUCCCAAAAAUAAACCCGAAGUUAAAACUCCAUAAUCAUAUAACCCAAACCAAACUACCCGACUAAACUAACUAAACAAGCAAGCACCAACCAACCACACAUACACACACACCCACACCAAACUACCCCUACCAUAAGUUCGUUACCAUUAUUUCUUUCGAUCUGAGCCCCCCAUCAAAGCCAUAACAGUUCUCUCUCACUCUCUUUCUCUCUCCUUAUUUCCUGUUUUCAAUUUUUACAACAAUAUGGACUUCGUUUCGAAUGUCAACAACCUUUCAUAAAGGAGUAACUGCAACCAUGCGCGAUGGAGACUUCUGCGCCAGAAAGUGGGUACAGUGGAGACCCAAAUGUACUGUUUGACCAGUUUGUGAAUGCAGGGACAUGUAAAUCUAUCUUACAUACAUUCCAACUACUCUGCGAUUCCUUGGAGAUUAAACAGACGGAUCACCGACAUUUCUAUCGAAGGUUGAAAUUGAGAUUGACAUCAUGGAAAGCUCAGUCACUGUGGGCCAAGCUGGACAAAAGAGCAAGCCACAAGGAAUACAGAAAAGGCGAAGCUUGCGUAAAUACCAAGGUACUCAUCAUUGGUUCAGGACCAUGUGGUUUGAGGACAGCAAUAGAGAUUGCUCUGUUGGGUGGGAAGGCCGUGGUGUUAGAGAAGCGAGAUAGUUUUUCUCGUAACAAUGUUCUACAUCUUUGGCCAUUCCUGAUAACUGACCUGAAGAAUUUUGGUGCCAAGAAGUUCUUUGGGAAAUUCUGUGCUGGUUCCAUUGAUCAUAUAAGUAUCCGUCAACUUCAGUGCAUUCUGUUAAAAGUUGCUCUUAUUUUUGGUGUGGAGGUGCACUACAAUGUAUCGUUUGAGAAUCUUUUAGAACCCCCGGCUGAUCAAAGCAAAGAAAAAAUUGGAUGGCGUGCACUGGUUAUUCCGGCAAACCAUCCUGUAUCAGAAUAUCAAUUUGAUGUUCUUAUUGGUGCUGAUGGCAAAAGAAACACAUUGGAAGGGUUUCAGAGGAAAGAAUUCCGAGGCAAACUGGCCAUUGCUGUGACAGCAAACUUCAUCAACCGAAACACACAAGCUGAGGCUCGAGUAGAGGAAAUCAGUGGAGUUGCAUUUAUUUACAAUCAAAAGUUCUUUCAUCAGCUUAAGGAAAAGACUGGUAUUGACCUUGAGAACAUCGUCUACUAUAAAGACGCCACACAUUAUUUUGUAAUGACAGCGAAGAAACAGAGCCUGCUUGAUAAAGGCGUUUUGAAGCAUGAUUAUUCUGACACUGGUUCACUCUUGUCACGGUCCAACGUUGACCAAGAAGCAUUAUUAACUUAUGCCAGAGAAGCAGCUGAUUUUUCUACAAACCACCAGCUGCCUCACAUGGAUUAUGCGGUCAACCACUAUGGGCAAGCAGAUGUGGCCAUGUUCGAUUUUACUUCCCUUUUUCAAGCAGAGAACGCAUGUCGUGUUUUAAGUAAACAUAAUCAUAGAAUGAUUAUGGCGUUAGUGGGAGAUAGUUUAUUGGAGCCUUUCUGGCCGACUGGAUCUGGUUGUGCACGUGGAUUUCUUAGUGCCCUCGAUUCAGCUUGGAUGAUACGAAGCUGGGCAGGAGGCAAGUUGACUCCACUGCAAGUAAUAGCUGAGCGCGAGAGCAUCUACCGAUUACUCUCUCAGACAAAGCCAGAGAAUAUCAACAAGAACUAUAAUUUAUACACAAUUGACCCCAACACUAGGUACCCCAAUCUAAAUUCAAAUUAUUUUAGAUCUGAACAAGUUCGUCCAUUGUAUAUAUGUGAUGAGGAAGAUGAAUAUCUAAAGAAUGAAAUAAACGAGCUUCCACUCAAGAAGCCGCGAAAUGAUGAUUUUAUUGACAGCUACACAUUGCUACGAUGGUGCCAGCGUGUACUCAACACUGGUAGACACCAGUCUGUAAAUAUUAUAGAUUUUACUUCCUCUUGGAAGUCUGGGUUGGCACUGUGUGCCCUUAUACAUACAUUCAGACCUGAUCUCAUUGAUUUUAAUAGCCUCAACAAAUCCGAGGUGGUAAAGAACAAUCAGCUUGCUUUUGAUUUAGCCGAAAAAGAAUUUGGUAUCUCACCUGUGAUGACUGGGCAAGAGAUGGCCGAGUGUGAUGAGCCUGACAAACUUGCCAUGGUUUCCUAUCUCUCUCAGUUCUAUGUUAUUUUCAAGAAAGAAAAACAUCCAAAAUUGGAAAAUAUUGCUCUCACUCCAGAAGAAGGACCGAAACCAUACAGAUCUCCAUCUCAUCGUUUGUCCCUUCUGCAGAAGAUAAGCAACCGCUUCUCUAAACACAAAAGACUCAGCCGAAGUCGAGAAGACGAGCAUUUAACCUUUGGCAGUGCACAUGCCACUGGCGAACUGAAAGAGAAUCGGGCCCCUGUUGAGUUAAAAAGCUAUUCAAAACUUCCUAUUAAUGAAAUAAGCAACCGAUUAACAUCAAAUUGGAGAUUUGAAGACAUGAAAAAGGAUAGGAGAGAAGUCCAGAGCAAAGUGAAUGUUAGUGCCAUGGCUGAGAUUCUAGCUUCCAAGUUCAAAGCUGACUUACAACCACCCCCACCUGCAAUAAAAAGAAUUACAUCCAAUCCCACACUUCUAGCUGCUCAACCUGCAAGUGAAUAUUGCUAUUUUUGUAAAAGAAGAGUGUAUAUAAUGGAGCGAAUGAGUGCUGAAGGUCUAUUUUUCCACCGUGGCUGUUUACGUUGUGAACAUUGCAAGACCAACUUACGACUAAGCAAUUACUCAUGUGAUAGAACCAUCACAGGAGAAGUGAGGUUUUACUGCUUCCGUCAUGUUGGAAUGAUGAGACAGAGAAGAAAGCGCAGUUUAACGGAAGAACCCACAAAGGAUGAACAAGAUCUGACACCAGGCACAUCACCACCUCGUAUACCACCUUUGGCAGAAACUUACAAGAACACACCAAGCACGUCACCAUCAAUUAAAAAGAAAGGUGCUCCCAAAGUCAAAGACGAUUCUCGAUUGAAUCUGAAGAAUACGCCUGAAAGAGUAGAAUUUGAGAACUAUAUCGAAGGUGUAUCAGAGGAGACUGAAGAAGAACAGUUUGAACACAAUUUGAGACCCUCAUUAUCAUCUCAAGAACUUCUGGAAGCAAGUGACGAAGAAGAGAAUUCAAGUGAUUCUGAUGAAGAACUUUCCGAUCUGGAGCUGUCGGACUUUCUGUCCCAGUGGACUAGUGAAGAUGACGCUGAUGUGGAAGACUUGGACGAUGAUGCCAGUCAUAUCCUUACUUGGGAAGAAGCCUGCCUGCUUGCUGAAACAUUGCAAGAGAGACAGGCUCGGGAGAGCAUCCCCAGCAAGUUAGCUGAUAAGUGCAGGCUUCAGCUAGAAGACACUGACAGCACAGAAGAAUCUAGUGAUGAUGAAACAGAGACAGAGAAAGGUUUUUCAUCUGAUGACGCUGAUGACACAAUGAAAGAUCAGACAACACCUGACACUGAAAAUAAAACACUAUUAGAUGAAAUGGCUGAUGCGAGGACAGAUCAGCGAUUAUCCAGAUUGCGACCUACAUCGAAAGUUGAGCCUUUAUCACCUCUUCGCUCUCCGACUAGUCCCGCUAGUCAAAUGGAAGCAAGAGCCAAAUUUUUUGCAUCACCCCCAGAGCCAGUUCGACUCGAUGCCAAACUGCUCUUUGGAAUCGACAAAUCUGAAAAAGCAGGUGAGAAGACGCCGACAUCGACUGAAAAUGUUAAUAAUGCUAAAGAUGAAGCUGUCACACCAAGCACUACUGAUGUUACCAUUGGUCAGGCAUCUGAUGCGGUGGUCACUAAAGUAGAAGAUUCUAAUUUGGAUAAAGAAGCUUUAAAAGAUGCCAUUGCCAAGUCUGAUAUUGCUGUGGAGGAAGAUUACUUUGAAGGAUCUGAAGAAAGUGAAACUGAAACUUUGGAAGAGGUAGCCUCUGAAGAAGCUGAUACCAAUGACGAAAUUGAUGAUAUCAUUGAGGAGAAUGUAGAUGACAGAGAGGCUGUCGGUCAAGCCAUGGAAGAAGUUCUAACAAGUCUUGAAAGAAGGUCUUCCAGUAGCGAGGAAGAGGGAGAAAUGACUCCUGCCAAAGCUUGGGAAGGCAUGCAAGACGAUGAUGACGUCUUCAUGAAAGAGAGCACCAAUAUUAGAGAUAGCACCUACAAUGGUGAACCCAUGGAAAAUGGCACCUAUGAAGACAAUGAAGUUGUUGCAAAUGGCACUUUUGCUAAUGAAGAUAUCUACAAAGGCAGAGCUGUUGAAGGUGAUGUCAUUAAAGGUGUUGCCAUUGUAAGAAAUACUGUGGAAGAUGAUAAUAUUGGUGAAAACAUUGAAGAUGACAACAUUGUGAAUGACACUGAGCAAAUUCUUGAAGCUGAUGUAAAAACCGAUGUGUUAGAGGAGAUGAAGGAGGAGGAAUUACAUCUAAAUAAUUCCAGUGAUGACGAAUCGAAGAGCACAGAGACAACAAACACAGAAAAAGCUGUUCUUCGAAGUGUUUCUGCCAUGUCUGAUGACACUAUUGUUGACUCAGAGGAUAGCACUCUGCAGUCUGUACUCCGUAGCUUAGAAAGAAUGGACGAGCCAUCAACGCCAGUUUUAGAAUCAGAGCCUUGGAACAAACUUGAUGAAAGAUUCAUUACCAAAAGAAAGAAGAAACCCAAAAAAGAUGAUGGUGGAUCUGGAUCAGACACCAGCUUUACACUAUCGACACCAAGUAAAUCAAUUCACUCUUCUUUAAGUUCUCUUAACGAUGCAUUGCAGUACAACAAACAAAUUCUGUCAGAAACUGCUGCCAAUAAUUCUGAUAAUGAACUCCUCAACGAGUUUCAGCAAGUUAUAGAAGAAAGACUCGAUGAGGUUAAUAACGAAGCUGAAAACAUUGCUGUUGAGGAGGCACCACAAGAGGAUGAUGUUACUUUGAUUGAAAACACAUUUUCUGAUCUUCCAGAAGAAUCGGUGAAGGCUGAGGAAGAAUUGCAGAAAAUCAAGGUAAUAGAUGUCUCUGUGGUGUCAAAAGAUGAAGAUAAAGUUACAGAACCAUUACAUGAAGAAAUGGAAGUUGAAGAAGCACCAAAGAAUCUCGAAAUGGAAUUGGAAGAAAUCUCUAAAUUCCCAGAAGAAAUUGUUGAACAGGAGGAGGACGUUAUUGUUAAUAAAAAUGUCAAUGCUAAUUUGGAAAUGGUUGAGAAUGAAAGCGAGCAAAUAUUAGCAGACCUUAACAAUGAGAAUCUUCCAGUGUCCUCAACUAGGAAUGAAGAUAUUACAGAGUUGUUGGACAAUGAAGUUCCCGAGAAAACCCCAAAUGAAAUAAUUAAUGAUCUAGACAAGAAAACAGCAAUUACUUCUUCACAUAAACUGCUAAAUAAAACUGAAAUUUAUGAGUCAAAAGAAACUGAAGAGGAGCCUUGUAGUCCUAGAGAGGAAAAAAUGGUACAUUCUGUAUCUGUAACUGAAAAGACCAAGCAGAGUAUUCCACAAUUGGCUUUCUCACCAAAAAAGAACAAAUUAGCUGAUAAAAAGCCUUUGUUGGUUGACAUUGCUGAUAGGCACCCUCUUUUUGCUAACAAGAAACCUACUGUGGAUACUCUGAGUAAGGUUGAUGUUGAAAGCAGUGCUGCUGCUAUACCUACAACUACUACUAUUACCAGUACACCUACUACAACUACAACUAGUGUUACUGCUGAUGAUAAUGAGGAUGCUGCUAAUACUCCAACAACACCUACUGAAGUUAAAUAUAGAAAUUCAAUACCCAUAAAACCGCCUCGGUCAGCUCGGCCUCUGACCACUGAAUUUGAUUCUCGACGUCCUCUCUCUGACCUUAUUUUAGAAAGCCAACCUAUAGCUAUUCCAUCUUCUGACAGAAUCCAGUCAAAUAAAACUAGUGCCAACAAACAAGUUACACGAGCUUCUUCACUUCCGAGGGAAAGUUAUAUGGAAAAAUAUCUUUCAAGUGUUGAUGUUGAAAUGAGAAAGAAACCUGAAUAUUUGUGGAAAGGUGAUAAUAAAGAUAAUUGGAAACGUUACUCGGAUUUGCCUGAGAACAACGGUAAUUAUGAUAUGACAGUUGUCAGUAAACAACUUCCUGACAAUAUCACCAGGAAAAAUUACUCUCAUUCAAAAAGCUUAGAUAGAAAUUUUGUUGCUGGAAGUCGGGAAUUAUCUCCAGCACCAAAAGCUACUUUAGAUGAAAGCCCAACUGAUUUAACACCUGUUCCAAAGCCUCGUCGUAUUUUACCAGAAGUUACUGAAUUAAAAAGAAGCCUUCCACCUUUGAAGCCACUAGCUCCUACUCCGGCUUCCAGAACCUCUUUAAAAGCUAAAUCUGCUGGGAGCACUCCAGUAAGCACAGCUACCAAAGAACCUGAAGAAAACAAAAAACAACCUUUUAUUCCAACUAAGUUAGAAGAAAAAAUGAAACCUAAUGCUUCUUUGACUGUGCCUCCUGAAGGUAGGAAUGACAAAAGGCGUAAGAUUCCUGUAGAUGCAAGUUUGAAGAAACCUCAAAAAGAAAACCAUCUUGAUAAGCAAUCUAGUGUUGUAGAAUCUAUUGAUGAUAUUCCCUUUGCUGAUGAAAGCGAUAGUGAUGCUCUGACAACUAUCAGCAUCAGCUCAGUGGAACAGUUCCCUGGAACUCUCAUAAAAUCAAAGCCGGUCCGCCGGGUAUCCCAUUCUGCAUUUAAGAAAAGGAUAUUGCCAGCGGCUCCGAAAAAGGAACCAGCUUCCCCCAUUGUACCAACUAAUUCAACAAAACCACCAGAACCAAAGAAAAAGGAAAGAGUAAUCUCUCUCACCAAGAUGAUUCCUACCAACAAACGAGACAGUUACAACCAAGACAUUCCAGCGUCGGUGUUAUUGUCUACGCCUUACACCACAUCUCCCUUCUGGAAGAUGUCACCCACUCCAAAUACACCCAUUCCGAGUACCUAUUCAGACCAAACCCCUGUUAAGCAGCAAUCCCUAACAACAAACCAGUCUGCAUUCAGUCCAAAAGUUCCCAGCCCCACACCAAAACCCUUCCUAAGUUGGUCACAAUCUACAAGCACUAAGAAACCUGAAAAGCCUAAAGAAGGGACUCAGUCAGAAGGUUCUUCAACUGCAUCCACCCCAAAGAAAGAAAAGAAACGGUCCUUAUUGUCUAUGUUCUUGCCAAGUAAGUCUCGUAAUAAGAGUACCAGCAGUGGUUCUGAAAGCUCUGACAAGCAAAAAACUCCAACAUCAAGUAAAGAGAAGAAACUAGGGCAAAAACCCAGCAAAACUGUAAAUGAUAAAAAAGACAAAGGAAUAAAACAUACUGAUUCUAAAGAUCUAGAUUUUGAUCUUAGCAGGGACAUGACAGACCUUAGUAUAAAAUCUGUUUUCCAUGUAAAAGACCGGCCACAUAUUACACCAGAGCAAAAACUGCGCAUUUUGGAAAGUGGGCUCAAAGCAAUAAUUCCACCAAGAGGAGAUGAUGAGUUCUCGGAUUCUGGAGAAAGCUUUUUAUCAACUGAUACAUCUGUAUCAAGAAGAUCAAAAUUGAGCGAUCCGAAAAAGAUCCAGCAAGCUGCUCGGAAGCAACAGAAACGCCAGCAACAACAAAGACUGCGCAGGGCUCAGGAAAUACAACGGCGGUUAGAAGAAGUAGAUGUGCAACAGAAAGAAUUGGAAGACAGAGGCGUUAUUGUUGAAAAAGCUUUGCGGGGCGAAGGUCUUGAGUAUGGAAUCAUCAAUAUAUGUCUGGCAUGUGCCUUUACUCCACUGCAAGGAAGAGGAAUCAACCAGAUUUCAACCCUUCUCAAAGGACAACAAAAAGCUGGUCGAAACGAGGGUGAACUCAUGCAGGAAUGGUUCAAUCUUGUACACGAGAAGAACGUUUUACUUCGUUAUGAAUCUGAACUUAUGGUGCAAGCUAAAGAAUUAGAGUUAGAAGAUCGGCAGGCACGUCUUGAAACUGAGUUAAGGAACAAAAUGACAACAGAUGAUGUUUCCCCUACUUGUGGUCACAGAAAUGUCCCAAAUGUGUCUCAGAAUACAGAAGAGGGAGAAGAGUAAAACCUCAGAUCAGGUUGAAGCUGAGAAACGAAUUCUUGCUGAACUGCUUGAAGUUGUCGAAGAACGUGAUGCCUUAGUGUCAAUGCUUGAGGAGGACCGACUCAGAGAGCGAGAAGAAGACCGAGAUUUAGAAGGCAUAA